AACGCGAAGAACCUUACCUGGGCUCGAACGGCUUCUCAACGGCGGUGGAAACACCGCUAUCCCUUAAAAGAGUGGAGUCGAGGUGCUGCAUGGCUGUCGUCAGCUCGUGUCGUGAGAUGUUGGGUUAAGUCCCGCAACGAGCGCAACCCUUGUCCUGUGUUGCCACCCCGUAAGGGAGCACUCGCAGGAGACCGCCAGCGAUAAGCUGGAGGAAGGUGGGGAUGACGUCAAGUCCUCAUGGCCUUUAUGUCCAGGGCUACACACGUGCUACAAUGGCCGGUACAAAGCGUUCCCAAGCCGCGAGGUGGAGGCAAUCGCAAAAAACCGGUCUCAGUUCGGAUUGCAGGCUGCAACUCGCCUGCAUGAAGCUGGAAUCGCUAGUAAUGGCAGAUCAGCACGCUGCCGUGAAUACGUUCCCGGGCCUUGUACACACCGGACACGC
rnacentral:rRNA from 1 species